GAUGAACGCUGGCGGCGUGCCUAAUACAUGCAAGUCGAGCGAACGGACGAGAAGCUUGCUUCUCUGAUGUUAGCGGCGGACGGGUGAGUAACACGUGGAUAACCUACCUAUAAGACUGGGAUAACUUCGGGAAACCGUAGCUAAUACCGGAUAAUAUUUUGAACCGCAUGGUUCAAAAGUGAAAGACGGUCUUGCUGUCACUUAUAGAUGGAUCCGCGCUGCAUUAGCUAGUUGGUAAGGUAACGGCUUACCAAGGCAACGAUGCAUAGCCGACCUGAGAGGGUGAUCGGCCACACUGGAACUGAGCCACGGUCCAGACUCCUACUGGAGGCAGCAGUAGGGAAUCUUCCGCAAUGGGCGAAAGCCUGACGGAGCAACGCCGCGUGAGUGAUGAAGGUCUUCGGAUCGUAGAACUCUGUUAUUAGGGAAGAACAUAUGUGUAAGUAACUGUGCACAUCUUGACGGUACCUAAUCAGAAAGCCACGGCUAACUACGUG
rnacentral:rRNA from 1 species